rnacentral:lncRNA from 1 species
AAAGUUUAAUUUUUAAUUAAAUCUGAAAUACCAAUUAUAACUGAAAGAGAUUUUAACCUGUUUCUUUUCAGACUGCCUGAAGUUACAUUGUAGAUGCUGAAAUCACUGCACCUUAAAAACAAAAAGAUUAAGCCACACUGCAUUCCUGCAUUAAUCCAGAAACUCAGGGGGAUAAAUUCUGCCCUGAUUUCUACCUGUGCAACCCCAGUGGAAAUGUGGAGAGGUCAAAAAUGUUUAUUAAGGCAGAAAUUGUCCUGGAGUUAGAAUUGUGGAGAAAGCAGAAACUAGUUGGUCGUUAUCUGGCCCAGGGGCAAGAGGAUAUGUAGGAGCCCUACCUGGCAUUGUAUGCUUCUGAAAGUGCUGCUUUUUUUGUACCUUAAGGAGAAUAUAUUAAAAAAAAAUUAAAUAUAUCUAGUGAGUGAAAAUUUAUAAUCAAGAGCACAGUGAUUAAUUGUUCUUCAUGUCCACUGGGAGAAAGACCUAAAGAAAUCAGUUCAAUGAGCAGUGAAAAUUGCCAAGUUAGAUAAUAGGAGCCAUGUUGUGACUGUAUGCGUUGUAAAGUGCUGGAACACACAACCUAUAGGUACUAUGGAAGCAGGGGAAAUUUCUUUUUUAAGGAAUGGCUUGAAAAACCGCCUCCCAGAAUGUGCUGGAAGUUCCCAAUAAGACAGAUGACCAAGCUGGAUGGGUUCUGUUACUCCCUGGCAUCUCUCUGAUUCAGUGUACCGUUUGGGAAUGUUGGUAUGUGGCGAGUACAUUCCUGAUUAAUAAAGCCUAAUGUUCCCAAAAGAUCUCCA